AACAACUUCAUUCAAAUCACGCAGCACCAAGGAGCGAUUUAAAGGCACCAGAAUGUUUAACGAGCUAGGGCAACACGAACCAAGCGGCCCAGUUAGCCUGCUGUGGUCGUGUUGACACUCUGAGGCGGUGUGGGCUCAUGCUGGGUCUGCAAUGCUUUAAAACCCCGGUCAUCGUUAUUUUUAUUAUUCAGGCAUGCGUUGUCCCACCGACCUGUCAGGUGUCUCAGGUGACCAGGGCGGCAAACAUCUUCGGCUGAAAGGAUGAACUCCGCGUUAGGAAGAACUGUAGUCGUGUUCCGUGUAGCAGCAGCGGUACAGCAAGAUGCCAACGCGAAUCUCCUAUGUUGUUUAUGUUCGCGACAAAGAUGGCGUCCGAGUCAGCUGUGGCAGAAAUUUUUUGCUUUGAGCUGACUUCUGCUGCCUGUGCUGAGCUUUGGAGACGGCGCAACAGCGACACCCGCUGGUGACUUAACACAUUUUUGAACGAGUUAAGGCCGUGGCUGUCAUUGUCUUCGGUUUGCCCACAAGAUGUCGCUAUUGCAACGCAAAACAACUUAAAAGCUGUUUGGAAGUGCUAAGUAAAUUCAAGUAGCAGGCCUUUCAUUUCGAGCAGAAGUGGUUAUGAAUUAAACUAGAUUAAUACUAGACUGUAUUAAUAAAGAAAUGAAAUUCGUG